rnacentral:rRNA from 1 species
UACGUAGGCGGCAAGCGUUGUCCGGAAUCAUUGGGCGUAAAGGGAGCGCAGGCGGGAAGGCAAGUCUUCCUUAAAAGUGCGGGGCUCAGCCCCGUGAGGGGGAAGAAACUGUUUUUCUUGAGUGCCGGAGAGGAAAGCGGAAUUCCCAGUGUAGCGGUGAAAUGCGUAGAUAUUGGGAAGAACACCAGUGGCGAAGGCGGCUUUCUGGACGGCAACUGACGCUGAGGCUCGAAAGCCAGGGGAGCGAACG